CAAAUUUGACAAACAAAGCUAAAUUGAAUUUGCUACAAAAACGACCCAGUUUAGAGGGCUAAAAGCUAGUUAAAUAGGACAUUCUCAGUAAUGUAGCCCACAUGGUCUGUUCCAGUGUGACUAGAGCUAUCAUUUGACACCGUUUCAAUAGACAAUGGAGCUUUUCUGCGAUUGUUAUGCACCCUCAGACAAAUUUGACAAACAAAGCUAAAUUGAAUUUGAUAAAAAAACGACCCAGUUUAGAGGGCUAAAAGCUAGUUAAAUAGAACAUUCUCAGUAAUGUAGCACACAUGGUCUGUUCCAGUGUGACUAGAGCUAUCAUUUGACACCGUUUCAAUAGACAAUGGAGCUUUUCUGUGAUUUUUAUGCACCCUCAGACAAAUUUGACAAACAAAGCUAAAUUGAAUUUGAUAAAAAAACGACCCAUUUAGAGGGCUAAAAGCUAGUUAAAUUGGACAUUCUCAGUAAUGUAGCACACAUGGUCUGUUCCAGUGUGACUAGAGCUAUCAUUUGACACCGUUUCAAUAGACAAUGGAGCUUUUCUGCGAUUUUUAUGCACCCCCAGACAAAUUUGACAAACAAAGCUAAAUUGAAUUUACUACAAAAACGACCCAGUUUAGAGGGCUAAAAGCUAGUUAAAUAGGACAUUCUCAGUAAUGUAGCACACAUGGUCUGUUCCAGUGUGACUAGAGCUAUCAUUUGACAUCGUUUCAAUAGACAAUGGAGCUUUUCUGCGAUUUUUAUGCACCCCCAGACAAAUUUGACAAACAAAGCUAAAUUGAAUUUAAUACAAAAACGACCCAGUUUAGAGGGCUAAAAGCUAGUUAAAUAGGACAUUCUCAGUAAUGUAGCACACAUGGUCUGUUCCAGUGUGACUAGAGCUAUCAUUUGACACCGUUUCAAUAGACAAUGGAGCUUUUCUGCGAUUUUUAUGCACCCCCAGACAAAUUUGACAAAGCUAAAUUGAAUUUACUACAAAAACGACCCAGUUUAGAGGGCUAAAAGCUAGUUAAAUAGGACAUUCUCA
rnacentral:lncRNA from 1 species